UGGGAGGUAGCUCAGGGGCAGAGCAUUUGCCAAGCAUGUGCAAGGCCCUGGGUUCAAUCCCCAGCCCCGCAG
rnacentral:tRNA from 1 species